UCUGAAGUGCAGGAUAGU
rnacentral:miRNA from 1 species